GUUGGGAAUCAGUGUCACAUGUACCAUCGCAGCCUAUCUGCUAGGUAUAAUGGCAGGAGCCGGGAGGUAUGAAACACUAGGACGCGUUGGGUCAUUCAUCAUUCACCUUAAAUCUGUAUGAUGCUUACACAUAAUGUGUUGAACUGUAGGAGCCAACUACUGAGAGCCAUAAAGGAGGUGAAAAAAAUCUGUUUGUGUGAGAUAAAACUGCGGAAUUGGCCAGGUUCGAUGGCGAGCUAGAGCCCAAGAAAAGAUUUGCACUUUUGGUGCUGGAAGACUUCUGCUUCUCCUGCCAGGCUGGUAGGAGGCCCUGAUGACCUGCACUGCACCAAGCACUUUAAUUGUAAUCUGCUUGGGACCUCUAAUCAACCCCAGCUUGGAGGUAGAUGAACUGAAGGGUGUGGGUCCAUUUAUGUUGGAACUGUGGGAUUGAUAAAUUUUGGUUUUUGUUUUCUUUUUUGCGCAUUUUUAUAUGGCCAUUUGGAUGUUUCCACUGUUGUAAAUAUGUAUAUAAUUUUUUCACACUAUAAAUACAAGGCACUCGCAACUGCAAA